rnacentral:rRNA from 1 species
CUUGUUGGUGGGGUAAUGGCCUACCAAGGCAUCGACGGGUAGCUGGUCUGAGAGGAUGAUCAGCCACACUGGGACUGAGACACGGCCCAGACUCCUACGGGAGGCAGCAGUGGGGAAUCUUGCACAAUGGGCGAAAGCCUGAUGCAGCAACGCCGCGUGCGGGAAGAAGGCCCUCGGGUUGUAAACCGCUUUCAGAAGGAACGAAACUGACGGUACUUUCAGAAGAAGGUGCGGCCAACUACGUGCCAGCAGCCGCGGUGACACGUAGGCACCAAGCGUUGUCCGGAUUUAUUGGGCGUAAAGAGCUCGUAGGCGGUUCAGUAAGUCGGGUGUGAAAACUUUGGGCUUAACCCAAAGCGUGCAUCCGAUACUGCUGUGACUUGAGUACGGUAGGGGAGCGGGGAAUUCCUAGUGUAGCGGUGAAAUGCGCAGAUAUUAGGAGGAACACCGGGGGCGAAGGCGCCGCUCUGGGCCGAAACUGACGCUGAGGAGCGAAAGCAUGGGUAGCAAACAGGAUUAGAUACCCUGGUAGUCCAUGCCGUAAACGUUGGGCACUAGGUGUGGGUUCCAACCAACGGAAUCCGCGCCGUCGCUAACGCAUUAAGUGCCCCGCCUGGGGAGUACGGCCGCAAGGUUAAAACUCAAAGGAAUUGACG